GAUGAAGAACGCAGCGAAAUGCGAUACGUAAUGUGAAUUGCAGAAUUCAGUGAAUCAUCGAAUCUUUGAACGCAUAUUGCGCUCUCUGGUAUUCUGGAGAGCAUGCUUGUUUGAGUAUCAGUAAACACCUCAACUUCCAUAUCUUUUUUGAAAUGGGAGUUGGACUUGAGUGAUCCCAACGCUUUUCCUCACCGAAAAGUGGCGGGUUACUUGAAAUGCAGGUGCAGCUGGACUUUUCUCUGAGCUAUAAGCAUAUCUAUUUAGUCUGCCUAAAAAACAGAUUAUUACCUUUGCUGCAGCUAACAUAAAGGAGAUUAGUUCUUGUGCUGACUGAUGCAGGAUUCACAAAGACGGCUUCGGCCGACUUUGUAAACUCGAUCUCAAAUCAAGUAAGACUACCCGCUGAACUUAAGCAUAUCAAUAAGCGGAGGA
rnacentral:misc_RNA from 1 species